UUGAAACAAAAAAAUGAAAAGGGCUGGGUGUGGCGGAAUAGUAGAAUAUAGUAAUGACAGAAAUUUGGGCAGCAAAAAAAAAUUCAAAACUAACCUUUUUUUUUCACAAAUUGUUUUUUCACAACUUGAUAUCCAAUCUUUUUGAGUUUGAAUGGAAAUAAAUUUUUUUUCGUAUUUUUUUUUCAAUUUUUUUCGAAGAAACUACUAUACGGUAAUACUAAAAGCGUCGAUUCUUACUCCAAAUUCGCUAGCUUUGAUACCAAUUUGAUACGAACCGCCUUAGUGUUGAGUUGAGUCAUAUUUGAAUUUCCCGAUGGUGAAUUGAGUAGGAUAGAUUCAUUUCAGUUUUAAAAGAAACAAAAUAGAGAUAAUGGCUUCA
rnacentral:lncRNA from 1 species